GUGCUCGCUUUGGCAGCACGUGUACUAAAAUGGGAAUGAUACAGAGAAGAUUAACAUGGUUCCUGCACAAGGAUGACACACAAAUUCAUGACAAUAAAACAUAUUCU